rnacentral:lncRNA from 1 species
CCCAAAGCAGUUAUUGAAGGCGCAGGAUCCCAGGGAAGGAAUGAAGAGCAGGAGGAGGAGGAAGAGGAGGGUGUUUUAGGCCAGGAGAACUAUGGGGUUUCUGUCGCUUCCACUCUUUCAGAUUUGCUGGCUCUUUCCUUCGAAGCCCGGGACAGCAGGCGAGCAGAUCCUCACCUUCCAGCUCGGUCUCUCUGGUGUUUUGGCAGAGGCGGCUCCAAUGCAUGGGCCAGACUCGGUCCCUGGCCAGGCCAACCCUGUCUCGGGAUCCUCUAGAAUGCAUCAGCUGGGCUUGGGAGCGAAGGGAGACGCCUGGAAGAGAAUUGUAUUGCUUCAUCCCCGAGGGCACCUAUGAGGACGCGGCUCUGGGAGCAGGGAUCUGGGCCCGGACGCGGGAAGAGGAGAACAGGGAGCAGGACCCAGGCGCGGGCUGGGGAUCAGAGCGCGGGAAGUGGGGAGCGGGUUCCGGGUUCAGACAGCGGGGCAUGGGAAGCCGGGCCACAGUAUACUCACCGCUGCGCAGCGUCCCGGUUGGCGGGCCGCGUAGGCCGGGCCGCCGCGGAAAGGAAAGGCCGGAGCCCUCCGGCUCCCUCCCCUGGGACACUUCCUGCACCGCUCUAGGACCGAGGAGGUCUCCUCAUCUCAGUGGUUCGCUUCCCCGCCUCCUGGCCGAGGUGUACGCGGGGGGGUGACAUCCGACACCCCCGGCCCGCCUGGACCGCCCCGCCCCGCCCCGCUCCGUGCUCUCCCGGCCUGGGCCCGGGGCCCGGGCUUUAGCUUUGUGGGCCUUCCUAGCGGGCUCGGGAUGCGCGCGCGCGCCCCGGCGGGACCCGGGCGCUGGGGGCCAGUUCGCGCGGCCACCAGCCAGGGAGGCCGGCUUGGGGCUUUGCUCUUCUCUGCUCCUCUUGUGUGGGCGCAGGGAAGGGCUGGUCUGGCGGCGCUGGCGAAAUGCCAGAAUUGGGAGGAGGAGGGAUGAGGUGUAAGGGGAUCUCCCAGUGACCAUUUGCAUCCCGUGUGUGCUGUUGUGCCCCAAUCCCUUCCAGCCGCAAUUCCAUUUCAAAGCCAACGCUGCCAGAGCCACCCAAAUCGGUAGGACUGGAGAAAUGCAGACCCAGCGAUCCACGGUGCUCGCCGAAGCAGCGGCCCGCGGCUUCGUGGCAUGGAGAUGAUCUACGAUUUCUCUGUUUAAGGAAGACUGUAGCACUCUGGGUCCCUCUGAGCACCAGGAUAGUCCUGGUACAUGGUAGGAAGUCACCCUUAAAGAAGGUGGUUUGAUAGAGACACCCCACCACCGGCAGACUUCGUGCUUCCGUUUCCUUCUAAUAAUUGGGACUGGGACAAUCUCUUCCGACUAGUAGGUAUGGAGUUAAGGGUCGAGGUUUUGGGACAUUAGGAGGUGAGUCAAGUGGAUGAUUGUUCCCCAAGUGCAGAAGAACGCUGAGCAAGCAAGGGUCACCCAAGGCUGGGACUUAAGGCUCACAGAGAGCAAUAGGAGCCACCUAGACUUACAAAUCCAUGCCAAUCCCUUUUCAAAAACACCAGCCAGGAAGCACAGCCUGGAAUGACCAAAGACCCCGUUGGGGAGUCAAGCCUAGUGAUUAGUCCAGUUGUGUAUCCCGAAGGGCUGCUGUUUAGGCUCCUGCCUGGUGGCUGCUCAAUACUUGGAUUCCUCAGAGGCGCACUUAUUGGAGCCCUCACGCAGGUAAAAUGCAGCGCCAGGAGGUGGCUGAUACAUGGGAUUUUUCUCCCCCCACAAACACUUUCCCUUUAGUUUCUCCCCCUGAGCUCACAACUCUCAGGAUUUAGGUCCCCUCUCGCUGUUCAGAAGCCGCCAAUGACUCCUAAUAUGCCUUCUUUCUGUGUUUCUUCUGCAUAGAACCUGGAAUAGGGACUAAUAGACUGGAAUCGGAGCACCUGUGUUAAAUCACACCCAUCAAGGCGCAGUCAGGUGAUCUAAGGCCUGCGUGACCUCUCUGUGCUUCAGGUACCUCCCUCAUACAGGAGACUGAUGCUGUCUGCUUCAUUGUGAGGCUAUUCAGGGAAUAUGUACUGAGAGUCUGCAAGACAGCUGCAGUUUGCCACUCCCAUCCAGAUCCUGGGCGCAUCUGUGCACCCCACUGACCAUCGGAAGGGCGAAUAGUGAGCAGAGCUCUGGUCAGUGGAGCCACGGGGAAACUGAAUCAGAACAGCAACCUCAGGACUGAGUUCUGAGCAGAGCCUGAGAGUUGUUACCAUGCUGUAUUGAGGAGUCAGGUGUGUCAGGCAUCCUGGCAAAGGUGGUCUUUGAAAUGAAGGAGUUGAGGUGAUGGGGCCCUGGGGCAGCCACAGAAAGGCAUUUCACUCUGUAACAAGCAGGGUUCUGUCAGGAGUUGUGGGUGAAGUACCUGAUGACACUUGUAAACCCUGCUCUGUGGUCCCAAUGAUCCCCCCAUCUCUGUUGCCAUCAGAGUGACAGCCUUAAAAUGAGUGUGACUUUGAUUUUUUUUUUAAAGAUUUAUUUAUUAUAUGUAAGGACACUGUAACUGUCUCCAGACAUACUGGAAGAGGGCAUCAGAUCUCAUUAUGGAUGGUUGUGAGCCACCAUGUGGUUGCUGGGACUUGAACUCAGGACCUCGGGAAGAGCAGUCAGUGCUCUCAACCACUGAGCCAUCUCUCCAGCCCGGGACUUUGACUCUUGCCAAGAAUGGGAAACAGACUUGAAAGUCAACUUCCUACCCCUUGGCCAUGGGAGUACUCUAGCUAUGGUGUAACUGAGGGGGGCCGACUGCCUGGGUGCAUGCCUGUGAGUCCCAGCACCUGGGAAGCUGAGGCAGGAAGACGGAGAGCUGGAGGCCAGCCUGGGCUGUGCUGCAUGUCUAGUAGCAAGGCAGCCCAGGCUAGACUCUUAUCUCAAGGGGCAAAAACUAAGGAAGGUGGGGGCACCAACUAACAAAAUAGGAAUAUUACUUUUUUUUUCCUGGGGAUUCUGGAAAAUUUCCAGAAAAUCCGAUGUCCCUUUUUAUUCCUUUUGUGAUCCUUGGCAAUUAUUAACUGUCAGGAGAUUGGAGACAUUGCUUAGCUACAGAUGAUUAAAGACUCAUGGCACCUUAACUUAGCGUAGAUCUAGCCAGUUUGAACUGGCCUCCCAGAAAAGAUACUUUGGCCUUUAGAUCCUUUUGGCCAGCUCUUCUCUGAAACAGGGAAAGGAAGAAGUUUAGCCGGGUCACUGAGGUAGAACUUGGGGGUGACACAGAGGAACCUAAGAAGAAAACCCAACUAUAAGCAGCUAGAAGGGAGCAGGGUGGUGUGGCGCACAGCUUUAAUCCUGGCAGAGGCAGGCGCAUCCGUGCAAGUUCAAGGUCUACAGAGCUGGUGGUCUACAGCACGAGUUCUAGGACAGCCAGGGCUACCCUGCAUAGGAAAACAGAGAAAAGGGAAGGAAAUAAUACCACCAGGGACUGGCGAACAGUAAAAGGAAGCUGAGAAAAAUUGGGAGAUCACUGGGAGGGGGCAAAUGAGGGGAAUGGAGGCAGAUACAAUCAAAAUACUUUAUAUAUGUGUCUUUUAUCAUACCUGUAUCUUGGGCUUUAGAAACUGCUAAUUUGAGUUUUAUUACUCUUAAGCCACAGUACAUGUCUGAAUAUCUUAGGUCCAAUAGACGGAACUGGUUUUCUUGACAAGGGUUCCCAAACAAUGUGUCUGAUUCUUCCACAUUUGCAGGGAUCGCAUUUGGAUGCAUGUGCAAGCUGUGCUGUAGCCACCUCAGGUCCUGAAUCUUUAGGACUUGCUGGAGCUCAUUGCUGAUCUAUUUUGGCAGGUACGGGAUACUCAAAGUAUUUAUCGUUCUCCUUGCUGUAUACAAUUGGUUCUAUUCUUUUGUAUGACUCCAAGAGGUUAAGUUACAUGUUCCUCUGAUGUUUGUGAUCCUGUGCGUCUAGCUGCCUCCGUAGUGUCACUGAUCUUACCUGAGCUCUCAUACUCAUUCUCUCUCACUUCUCUCCCCUCCUCCUGGUCCUCUUGCUUCCCUCCAGCCUCCUUUAGAACUCAUUAUCUUUUAGAGUAAUACCACCCUUAACCAGUAGUUUAACUCCCCACUCCCUCAAAGGGGACUCAUUUGUCUCACUAGUGCUUAUACAUGUGUUACUGUAAUAAAGUAAGUUUUUUAAAUGUAAAUUUUUCAUUGUGCAGUUAUAUGUAAGCAAUAAAACAAAAAUAGCAUUGCUACGAGUGGUGAUGCACACCUGUAAUCUCCGCACUCCGGGACUGGGGGCUGGAGGAUCAGGUCAUGGUCUCCUAUAUAGUGAGCGAGUUUGGGGUCAGCUUGAAUGAUGAGAUACCCAGUCUGAAAAUAAAGAUGCAAAUUGAUGAGCUGUGGAGCGACACCCGCAUGCAGUUGAGUCAUCACGCAUAUACCUACCUCCCCACAUCCUUCAUGGCCCCCAGGAAGCUCCAGCUGGCUUACAGACUGACUUGUUUUGAGAUAGGGUCUCACUGUGUAGCCCUGACUGGCCUGGAACCCACCGAUCUGCUUGCUUCUGCCUCCUGAGCUGCGUGAUUAAAAGCAUGUGCCACCACACUCGUUUAACUAGAGGAACAAAGGCUAUUUAAAACCUUUGGUGACGCCGGGCAGUGGUGGCGCACGCCUUUAAUCCCAGCACUCGGGAAGCAGAGGCAGGCGGAUUUCUGAGUUCAAAGCCAGCCUGGUCUAUAGAGUGAGUUACAGACAGCCAGGGCUACACAGAGAAACCCUGGCUCGAAAACAAAACAACAACAACAAAACCCAACUUUGGUGAGUAAGUAGUUGCUUUAAAGGUGAGUGUACAGCCUUGUCCAGGGCCAGUGUGCUGGGGACGCCUCAUUUGCAUACGGAGGGAUUCCAGGUGCUGCUGGACACGACCUUAUAAGGGGAAAGGAAGUUUAACCUGGCUACCGGCUACAUGACCUCCUCUAGUGGGGCAAAGGUGGUGACAAAGGUCUGUGUGUGCCUGUCCAUGCGGGCCCGGUGCAAUCCUACUACUGCUGAUGUAUCUCUGGAUGAGAUUUCCAGGGUCUGGGCAGGCCUCCACCCGACUCUUGCUCCAGGCCUGCUCCCCACGGCUCCCCUGGCCCCCACAUGUAGUCACAUCGUAAGCUUUAUUGUGCAGCUGGAUUGGAUUGAAUGUUGCCUGGAAAUCUUUUCCCAAAUUGUUUUGUGCUUUAAGUAUGCUGACAGUGAACCAACCGCCCGGCGUUAGAUUCCCUGAAGUCUGACCCAGGUGGACGACAUCAGUGAGCACUGGGUUUUCAUUUUCGUCUCUGCCCAGUUUACCUGUCUGACACAUGCAGGGUGACCCCUCAGCUCAUACCGGGGAAAUUCAGACAAUGGACCCCCUAACAUAGAGAUCCAAAAGGAGAACUUAGCGGGUGGGUGCUGUGAGAAGGUCCUGGGUGGAGGGGCCUUGGUUGAUAGGCUAGGGUACAGCCCACUAGCAGAAGGUGUGGUGACCAUUACUAGGAGCAUGUCCUUGUAACCACAUUAGUUUAUCACUGAUUGUGUGGACAGAGCCACAGUUCUAUUCCACUCCUGCAGCCUGAAGGGUUCUAUUUUCCUUUAGUGACCUUCACUCAGACCAAAGAGGUUAGCGGCUUCAAUAAAGAGACAUUUUAAUA